GAGCAAGCACACGAACAACAGUAGAAUAUUUCUUUAUUUUUUCAAGCUCAGCUUCCACCUCUUUCUUCCCGGACUCAGUUGAAAAUUUCAGAGCAUAUUUUGUGAAAGCCUUCUUCUUCGACCUAUACCAGUUCUUAUAGAACCUGCGUCUCACUUCCUCACUGAGAUGCUCAGCCCAGACAGUGCUAAGAGACCGAAGGCCACGUGGAGUCUUCAGAUAACCAACUACUCCAACAAUAACCAUGGGCGGCGUUUCAAUGAUGGUUACAGCUUCACAAGUCUCCUUCUUG
rnacentral:misc_RNA from 1 species